ensembl:lncRNA
UUUUUUUUUUAAAAAUUAUUUUUGGCUGUGCUGGGUCUUUGUUGCUGCACAUGGGCUUCUCUAGUUGAGGUGAGCAGGGGCUUCUCUCCAGUUGUGGUGCUCGGGCUUCUCGUUGUUGCAGAGCGUGGGUUCAGUAGUUGUGGUGCAUGGGCUCAGUUGCCUUGAGGCAGGCGGGAUCUUCCCAGACCAGGGAUCAAAUCGGUGUUCCCUGCAUUGGCAGGUGGAUUCUUAACAGAGGGACCACCCCGGAAGUUCUUGAUAGCAUCCUCGAAAUCUAUAUAUUUUGCCCUUUCUCAUAUUUGUGUGGGGUGUGUGUGCACACAUACACACAUACACACAUACAUGCACUUUAGUCUGAUAAUGAGCCAGUAAUCAAGCAUUUGAGAGAAUGGGGAAGGGAAGGCAGUGCUGGUCGGGGCCACUUUGUCCAGGUGGACAGAACAAAGGACUGAGGAAGUCCCAGGUCCAACAGUGUUCUGAAGGAGCUAUUCUGCCAUCCUCAGAGGUGCCUGGAAAAGAUAGUGAGCUUGAGUAUGUGAUCUGAUUAACAUGAACCUACCCCUCUCCUGGGGAAACCACUUGGGUUUGUUCCAGAUGGGGGUCAACAGUGUCACACUUACUUCCUCAAUAUACUCUGACUUUGCUAAACAUUUUUUGAAAAUAAAAUCUUCCAGUACUAUUGUGUAGACCUUGCAUUUCUCAGAAGCACUCCCUGUAUCUUUGGGCAAAUCCCUGAGAGCGGAUUACCUGCCCCAGCCCCUAACACAGGUCUGGUUUUCAAGACAAGGGGAAGAAACAUCAGGAAGACUCCACUCCAGUGAGCUCAGGCCUGUCCAGGGCUGUGUUUUAUAAUAGAUUGCUUGGAGGAACUGAGAAUGCUUAUCCUGGGGAAAAAACUCUCAGAAGGGAUCAGGCUGAUAGUGUUAAAAUACCCAAAGGGCUCUCAUGAAGGAAAGGAAAUAGAUUCACUCAAACUAUGACUGAAGGGUGGAAGUUUCCAGAAAGAGUGUUUUGGUUCAAUAUUAGAAUGACUGUCUAAUAAUCAUCCAACGAUGAAUGGAAAGCUUCCUUGGAGGUGCUGAGAAAGGGCCCAGUUUCAGGAUCGUGAAAACGGGACGGCAGGGAUGUCGUAAUG